rnacentral:rRNA from 1 species
GCUUGUCUCAAAGAUUAAGCCAUGCAUGUCUAAGUAUAAACAAAUCUAUACUGUGAAACUGCGAAUGGCUCAUUAUAUCAGUUAUAGUUUAUUUGAUGGUUCUUGCUACUUGGAUAACCGUAGUAAUUCUAGAGCUAAUACAUGCAUCAAACCCCGACUUCUGGAAGGGGUGUAUUUAUUAGAUGGAAACCAAUGCGGGGCAACCCGGAAUAUGGUGAAUCAUAAUAACUGUCGUAUCGAGCAAUCGAAGCGCCAUACAAGUUUCUGCCCUAUCAGCUUUGGAUGGUAGGGUAUUGGCCUACCAUGGCUUUAACGGGUAACGGAGAAUUAGGGUUCGAUUCCGGAGAGGGAGCCUGAGAAACGGCUACCACAUCCAAGGAAGGCAGCAGG